CCUACGGGUGGCAGCAGUAGGGAAUAUUGCGCAAUGGGGGAAACCCUGAAGCAGCAACGCCGCGUGAGUGAUGAAGGUUUUCGGAUUGUAAAGCCCUAUUAUUAGGGAAGAAAAUGACGGUAUCUAACUAAGAAGCACCGGCUAACUCCUUGCCAGCAGCCGCGGUAAUACGUAGGGUGCACGCGUUAUCAGGAAUUACUGGGCGUAAGGGGCGCGUAGGCGGGAGUGCAAGUCUGGUGUGAAAGCCGAGGGCUCAACCGUAGAACUGCAUUGGAAACUGGAAUGCUAGAGUGCAGGAGAGGUAAGUGGAAUUCCUGGUGUAGCGGUGAAAUGCGUAGAGAUUAAGAGGAACACUAGUGGCGAAGGCGACUUGCUAGAAUGUAACUGACGCUGAUGCGCGAAAGCGUGGGGAGCAAACAGGAUUAGAUACCCGUGUAGUC
rnacentral:rRNA from 1 species